rnacentral:rRNA from 1 species
UACGACUCUCGGAGGAUAUCUCGGCUCUGGCAUCGAGAAGAAGCGUAGGGAAAUGCGAUAACUAUGGUGUAGAAUUGCAGAAUCCGUGAACCAUCGAGUUUUGAACGCAGUGCGGGCCCGAACCGUUAGGACCGAGGCACGUGCUGGCUCCGCAUUUGCGUCG